UUGCCCCUAUGAUGUUCAGCACUGGGCUCUGACUUCACUUGAAGACACAGUGCCCCCCCAGGGGAAA
rnacentral:snoRNA from 1 species